rnacentral:rRNA from 1 species
GCUUAACGCGAAGAACCUUACCUGGGCUUGACAUGUUAGUCGUAGACUUGUGAAAGCUUGUCGUCACUUCGGGUGGACUAUCACAGGUGCUGCAUGGCUGUCGUCAGCUCGUGUCGUGAGAUGUUGGGUUAAGUCCUGUAACGAGCGCAACCCCUAUGAACUGUUGCCAGCGGGUAAUGCCGGGGACUCUGUUCAGACUGCCCAGAUUAACUGGGAGGAAGGAGGGGAUGACGUCAAGUCAGUAUGGCCCUUACGCCCAGGGCUGCACACGUGCUACAAUGUCCAGUACAAUGUGAACCGAUACCGCGAGGUGGAGGAAAUCCUCAAAACUGGGCUCAGUUCGGAUUGCAGGCUGCAACUCGCCUGCAUGAAGUUGGAAUCGCCAGUAAUGGUGCAUCAGCUACGGCACCGUGAAUACGUUCCCGGGUCUUGUACACACCG